UUGAUUCCUGUAUGGGAUGAGGAGAUACCAAUGGAAGAGAAAAAAAAUAAAUAAAAUAUUUAAACAAAAAUAAAAUUCAUAAAUAAUUGAAUAAAUCAAAGCGGCCGUUAAGCAAUUGUGCUAACCACAACGAUUUUAAGAUUUAUUAUCAAAGUAGUGCAUGAUUUGUUCGUAGUCCAUGUCGAGGUCAUCGAGGCCUAGGCUCUCACCUGGACCAAUAUCACCGUCGACUGUUGUCGAGAACAUUGGAUUGCCGACCACUGUGGCACGUUUAACUUGGUUUCUUCUUGAUUUGCCUUCGUCUUUGGGCGGCGUGAUGAAACCACCAUUGUCAUCAGAACUGGAAUUAAUUGUGCUCGUAUCUGGCAGCGAUGAUGAUGGAACAAAGGAUGUUGUUGGUUUUCUGUGUCGCCGCUUAACUUCUGGAUUUUCAUCUUUAAGAAAAAAGUCAACACACAAACAUUAAAAUUAAUUGUUUAAUUAAAAAGUAGAUAUAUUUCCUUCUUGAGCAUGGAAGAGGGGAACAAUUAAAAUGAUAAUAUAUAUCCCUUUUCACAAAAAGAAACUAGGGUCACAGCAUCUUUAAAUUUACUUGUGACAUCUCUGUGACCUCAAUUGACUAUAAAAGGACAUUUUUGAUAUUUAAGGAAAGAAAACUUCAUACAAAUUUCCCACAAACUAAUUUCUCUUUGUGACAGGGAUCUGUUUCCUUAGUCUUAAGACUUAUUCAUGCAUAAAUAUAUUAUAUUAUUCUUACCAAUUUUCAAGGCAUUCAGUUGUUGUAGUUCUUCCUCUGACGAUGAUUGUGCAUUCGCUGAUUUAUUAACAUAUGAACUAGCUCUAUGCGCUGCCACUUCUCGCUUAGGUGUAAGCGAAUCAAAUUGGAAUGCAUUUUUCUGCUGUUGAGCAGCAUUCUCUACGAGUCUUUCGGCCAUGUGCAGCUCGUUUUUUUCUUUUUCAUCAUCUUCUUCGGUCAAAGGACCAAUUUUCUUUGGUGUCAAUGAUG